rnacentral:misc_RNA from 1 species
GAUGAAGAACGCAGUGUAAUGCGAUAAGUAAUGCGAAUUGCAGAAUUCAGUGAAUCAUCGAAUCUUUGAACGCACAUUGCGCCCGCCAGUAUUCUGGCGGGCAUGCCUGUCUGAGCGUCGUUUCGACCCUCGCGCCCGGCUUCUGUCGGGGGCGGUGUUGGGGAUCGGCCACACCCUUCAGUGGGAGGCCGGCCCCUAAAUUCAGUGGCGACCACGCUGUAGCCUCCCCUGCGUAGUACUAAAACCACCUCGCAGGCGGAGAGCGGUGCGGCCCGCCGUAAAACCCCCCAACUUUUACAAGGUCGACCUCAGAUCAGGUAGGAAUACCCGCUGAACUUAAGCAUAUCAAUAAGCGGAGGA